rnacentral:rRNA from 1 species
UACGAACUGUGCAAACGUUAUUCGGAUUCACUGGGCUUAAAGGGUGCGUAGGCGGCUUGCCAAGUAGGGUGUGAAAGCCCCCGGCUUAACCGGGGAAUUGCGCCCUAAACUGGCGAGCUGGAGUGAGAUAGGGGUGUGUGGAACUUCCGGUGGAGCGGUGAAAUGUGUUGAUAUCGGAAGGAACGCCGGUGGCGAAAGCGACGCACUGGACCUUGUCUGACGCUGAGGCACGAAAGCCAGGGGAGCAAACGGG